rnacentral:rRNA from 1 species
UACAGAGGUCCCAAGCGUUACUGAGAAUCACUGGGUUUAAAGGGUGCGUAGGUGGUCCGUUAAGUCAGUUGUGAAAUCCCCGGGCUCAACCCGGGAAAUGCUUCUGAUACUGGCGGACUUGAGGCCAGUAGGGGUCACUAGAACUGACGGUGGAGCGGUGAAAUGCGUAGAUAUCGUCAGGGAUGCCGGUGGUGAAGACGGGUGACUGGGCUGGUUCUGACACUGAGGCACGAAAGCGUGGGGAGCGAACGGG